rnacentral:tRNA from 1 species
GGGCGCGUGGUGUAAUGGAUAGCAUCUUGGCCUUCUAAGCCGAGGAUGGGGGUUCGAUUCCCUCCGUGCCUG